GACAGAGGUGCCGAGCGUUAGGCGGAAUCACUGGGCUUAAAGCGCGUGUAGGCGGGUCGUUAAGUGUCUUGUGAAAUCCCACCGCUCAACGGUGGAACUGCUGGGCAUACUGGCGAUCUUGAGCCACCUAGGGGCAGACGGAACAAGCGGUGGAGCGGUGAAAUGCGUAGAUAUCGCUUGGAACGCCGACGGUGAAAACAGUCUGCUGGGGGUGUGCUGACGCUGAGACACGAAAGCCAGGGGAGCGAACGGG
rnacentral:rRNA from 1 species